rnacentral:rRNA from 1 species
UACGAACUGUGCGAACGUUAUUCGGAAUCACUGGGCUUACAGGGUGCGUAGGCGGCUUUUCAAGUCAGGUGUGAAAGCCCCCGGCUCAACCGGGGAAUUGCGCUUGAAACUGGAGAGCUCGAGUCAGCUAGAGGUGCACGGAACUUCCAGUGGAGCGGUGAAAUGUGUUGAUAUUGGAAGGAACACCGGAGGCGAAAGCGGUGCACUGGGGCUGGUCUGACGCUGAGGCACGAAAGCCAGGGUAGCGAACGGGG